UCCUGAGCGGCUGUGCUGAGGAUCUUACUUCUCUCCGGUGGACGGGAGCCUCUGUGUCCUGGGUCUCAAGGAACUUCCACAGGCUCAGGCCGUUACCCAUGGAACUGGCCAGGGAGAGCCUACCUGUCAAAUUGGCUGGAACGUGGCAAUAUAAACUCCUGUUGCUUGCAUCUGUGAUUCAAAUGUACAUCCUUUGACAACCAAAAGGAGCCCAUGUUGGACCCAGAAUCUACCUGCAGCCAGUCUUCCACUGGUGAGCCAGCAAGCCAGAACGGAAGGUUUAACGAGCCAACAGCUGGGGAGAACAUCAGGGAAGGGAGAAGAAGGA